rnacentral:misc_RNA from 1 species
GACGUGAUAUAGGUUAGAAAAUAUUUUCCGAGGAAAAAUUACACCUGGGUAAUAGGAACGAUUGUUCAUUCCUGUUACGAAUUAUUCGAAGUCCGAAUUGCUAAUAAUAUUUUGGCCAACGACGCCGAGUGCAACCCACGAUUUCAGAAACUGAAGAUGUGAAUAUAUUUCUGAUCUGAAAAUAAAGAUUUCGAAUUCAAAAAAUUGUCUUUACCAUUAUCGCGUACGAAUUUUUUGACGAGUAGCAAUGGGAAAUACGGUUUCCGGAGCUCAAAAACUUGUGGUGCAGGCGUUUAUUCCACAGAACGAAACUAACAACAAUGAACCGCCUAAAAAUCCACACGGGCUUACCAACACAGCUGGCAUGAGCCCACCACCGGAAUGUCCAAUGCACGUCAAAACAGACGAUAAGAAAGCCGCUGGAUGUGCUGUGGCGGGAAACCCAGAUGACAUCAAUCCGUUAAAUAUGAUGCCACCUCCAAAUCAAAAACCAGCUCCAGAUCAACCAUUUCCAUUACCAACAGAACGAGAAGUAUCUACUAUACCUAAGUCAGAAGGAGAGGGUGACUUUUGGGUUUAUCCUUCAGCUCAAAUGUUUUGGAAUGCAAUGUUACGAAAAGGGUGGCGUUGGAAAGACGAUGAUUUAUCUCCAAAAGAUAUGGACGUUAUAAUUAAAAUACACAACAUCAACAAUGAGCUUGCUUGGCGAGAAGUACUAAAAUGGGAAGCUUUUCACGCAAGUGAAUGUAUGAAUCCAAAGUUGAAAAGCUUUGGGGGUAAAGCUAAACAUUUUUCUCCAAGAGCAAGAAUACGAAAUUGGAUGGGAUAUGAACUACCUUUUGAUAGACAUGAUUGGAUAGUAGACCGUUGUGGUAAAGAAGUACGAUAUGUUAUUGAUUAUUACAGUACAGAUAAUUCACCAAAUAAAUAUCAAGUGGCUGUUUUGGAUGUAAGGCCAGCCUUAGAUUCAUUUGGUGCGUUGUGGGAUCGUUCAAAAGCAGCUUAUUGGAGAUGGCGAUAUGAAGCUGAAAUGGAAAGAAAUAUUGCAAAUAAAAUGGAAGAAUUAAGAAGCGAUGAUAAAGUGUGAAUAUAAAUUAUUCAUUUUUUUUUUUUUUAUUGUAUAGUGUAUAGUAGGUCCUUAAUUAAAAGUUAACUAUUUCAAUCCUUAAAAGAUAUCAAGAUUAAAACUAAACUACUGUAUAAUAUUACCACCAGCUCCACAAAAAGGAUCCAACACUAUGUUAUUUUUACAACGCUUUGCUAUAUGAUAACUUAAUACCUCUGGACAGACCGAAUAGAAGCUCUCUGUAAAUAAAAAACAUUGUUUAAAAACAUAAGAUUUAAACAGAAAAUUGUUGAAUUACCUGUGUCCAAGAGAAUACCGUGAUCAAAAUUUGUAAAUAACAAGUGCCUCAUUGACCAGUAUUUAGUAGGCAACUGUUUAUCUUGAUGAAGAUUAUUGGUGUUCUUUUGGCAAUUCAAUUGAUUUGACUAUAUAAAUAGUUGAUGAUUAUUUAUUUGCACAACAAAUGGAAUUAAAAUUUUGAAAUUAUACUCAAGAACUAACUAAAAAGAACAAUUUUAAAAGUAAUAUUAAUUUAAAUAUGUUUCAUACUUCAAUUUUGUAAUUUUUGUUGUAACGAUUAUUUUCUGGGAAUGUUUUAGAGUGAAUUGGCUUUUGAUGUCUUCCGUUUUGAUUAUAUCCAUCACGACUACCUAUUGAAUUCUAAAAAAAAAAAAUAUUGUUA